AACGAAACUGUAAGACCACAACUACGCGCUUCACCUAAACAAGCCUGGAAUGUGAAACCGACCAUUAUUCUGACUGGAGCUCCCAAUGAAAAUGACAUACCUCUCUCAUCUACUGGAUACCCCAGUGAAAUGUCUGUCAUACAGGAUAGCUCAGUGAGAGACUCGCCUGCAUAUUCUACAAAUUCUGUACCCAUAUAUCCUGUAGAAGUAGCAUCCAGGCUUUUGAAGGAUAAACCCGUAACAAUGACGGAACGUGAGACUAGUAUCUGACAAGUAGUUUUCUUUAUUAGAGUGAUCGAACUUGAAGGAAGAAAGUCCCCCCCCCCCAAAGGAAAGCUACUUGAAUUGCCAAAACUUGUGUCACAAUUGUUCAAACAAGAGAGGCACUAUCUUAUGCACUUUUCUUUGAAACAUCAUCAUACAGAGGAUUUUAGCUAUUACAUUAAGCAGAAGGUAAUGUUUGUUAAUCUGGUAGAAGAAUUGUGCUCCCUCUCACAAAAAAGGGUAAAAUAUUCAGUAAAACAAUGUUAAGUUCAAGCUAGAAAUAAAUUAUCAACUUUAUAUCUAAUAGAAGACAGAAUUAAAGGUAAAUAUAACAGAUAAUGUUUGACUGUUUCUUUGAGCAUUAGAGCUUUAAUCCUGUUGUGUGUAUAAACACAUCAUUAUUAUCUUAUGGACUACUUCUGUCUAAUUUGAAGACAACAUUUUGGACUCUUUCUUCAUUGGGGAGAAGCAGUCUUAAAGUGAAGCUAUUCAACAUAUCCAAAUAACCCUGAAAUUUAUAAGGUUAAUUAUCAUGAAACGAUCCUCAGGAGUAAAAUAGUGAAUUUAAUUUUGUCUGUUGUUCAAAAACUAUAAUUAAUGAAACCUUUUUUUGUUGUCUUUGUUGAUGAUUUAGUCAGAUUUUGUUUAUUGUAGGUGCUUAAAAUGUCCCUUGUGCUGUACAUUCCUUUUAUAAUGUUCUACUGUCUGAUUUAAUAUUGUUUGUUGUAAAGUUUAUUAUUUAUAUGCAAUCUAAGCUAAGCAUGAACUACUUCCAUACUCAAGCACUUGUUGUUCAGUGAUUCACUGUACUUGCAUUUUUAUAGUUUUAUAAGUGGUUUGAUACCUAAAUUUACUAGGAAAAUAUUGUAUAAGCUUUUUAGUGUUCAGAAAGCUCAAUUUAAUGUUUUUUUGUUAACCAUCUUGCAAAUUAUUGAUAAUGAUUUGUUUUUAGUACAUUAAGUUUUGUUUGUGUUAAAUAUAUUGAGCCUCAAGUUUUUUAUAGUAAAGAGGCUUUAAAUUACCAAGAAUACUGAGUAUACUCUUAAACUAAACCGAUUUUUGUAUAAUGAAUAUAUUUAUCCCAGAAAUAUGUAAACAAGAACUAUAUGAACAUUAAAAAUCCAUUUUACUUCCAUACAACUCA